AGCGCCGUGGCGCAGUGGAAGCGCGCAGGGCUCAUAACUCUGAGGACCCUCGAUCGAAACGAGGCGGCGCUA